rnacentral:rRNA from 1 species
UACGUAGGGAGCAAGCGUUGUCCGGAAUCAUUGGGCGUAAAGAGCGCGUAGGUGGCUGCAUAAGUCCGUUGUGAAAGUCAAAGGCUCAACCUUUGAAAGCCGAUGGAUACUGUGGAGCUAGAGUACGGAAGAGGCGAGUGGAAUUCCUGGUGUAGCGGUGGAAUGCGCAGAUAUCAGGAGGAACACCAAUAGCGAAGGCAGCUCGGUGGGACGUUACUGACACUGAGGCGCGAAAGCGUGGGGAGCGAACAGG